UGGGGAAUAUUGCACAAUGGGGGAAACCCUGAUGCAGCGACGCCGCGUGAACGAAGAAGGUAUUCGUAUCGUAAAGUUCUGUCCUAUGGGAAGAUAAUGACAGUACCAUAGAAGAAAGCUCCGGCUAAAUACGUGCCAGCAGCCGCGGUAAUACGUAUGGAGCGAGCGUUGUCCGGAAUUAUUGGGCGUAAAGGGUACGCAGGCGGUUUAAUAAGUCGAAUGUGAAAGAUCGGGGCUCAACCCCGCAAAGCAUUGGAAACUGAUAAACUUGAGUAGUGGAGAGGAAAGUGGAAUUCCUAGUGUAGUGGUGAAAUACGUAGAUAUUAGGAGGAAUACCAGUAGCGAAGGCGACUUUCUGGACACAAACUGACGCUGAGGUCCGAAAGCGUGGGGAGCAAACAG
rnacentral:rRNA from 1 species